rnacentral:tRNA from 1 species
GCUCUGGUGUCGGAAUUGGCAGACGAAGUAGACUCAAAAUCUACCGUUAGCAAUAACUUGUGGGUUCAAGUCCCACCCAGAGCACCA